AAUGAACGCUGGCGGCGCGCCUAAUACAUGCAAGUCGAGCGAGAAGACGUAGCAAUACGUUUGUAAAGCGGCGAACGGGUGAGGAAUACAUGGGUAACCUACCCUAGAGUGGGGAAUAACUAGCCGAAAGGUUAGCUAAUACCGCGUACGCUCCUUGGACUUCGGUUCAGGGAGGAAAGCGAUACCGAGGGUAUCGCGCUCUUGGAUGGGCUCAUGUCCUAUCAGCUUGUUGGUGAGGUAACGGCUCACCAAGGCUUCGACGGGUAGCUGGUCUGAGAGGACGAUCAGCCACACUGGCACUGCGACACGGGCCAGACUCCUACGGGAGGCAGCAGUAAGGAAUAUUGCGCAAUGGGCGAAAGCCUGACGCAGCGACGCCGCGUGGGGGAGUGAAGGUCUUCGGAUUGUAAACCCCUUUCGGGAGGGAAGAUGGAACGAGCAAUCGUUCGGACGGUACCUCCAGAAGCAGCCACGGCUAACUUCGUGCCAGCAGCCGCCGC
rnacentral:rRNA from 1 species